GAAAUGCGAUAAGUAAUGUGAAUUGCAGAAUUCAGUGAAUCAUCGAAUCUUUGAACGCACAUUGCGCCCGCCAGUAUUCUGGCGGGCAUGCCUGUUCGAGCGUCAUUACAACCCUCAGGCCCCCGGGCCUGGCGUUGGGGAUCGGCGGAAGCCCCCUGCGGGCACAACGCCGUCCCCCAAAUACAGUGGCGGUCCCGCCGCAGCUUCCAUUGCGUAGUAGCUAACACCUCGCAACUGGAGAGCGGCGCGGCCACGCCGUAAAACACCCAACUUCUGAAUGUUGACCUCGAAUCAGGUAGGAAUACCCGCUGAACUCAAGC
rnacentral:misc_RNA from 1 species